rnacentral:lncRNA from 1 species
UCAUGUAUACUUUGCUCAGUAUUUAUCAUGAUAUUCUUUUCACACUGUUUACUAAGAACAGCUAGAUCUGGUAUUAGAACUGAUUCUCAGUGGCCCUGUACCCCAGCCUCCUCCAGUAUAAGGUGAUGACAAAUUCCUGAGUUGCAUACAAAAAUGCAAUGUGUGAGAGAAGAGCCCCAGUAGUAGAGUAGUGUUGUUUAGUAAUUACUUGGAUGAGUGAAAUACCUGCUGGUUUUCAAAUACUGAUGUUUAAAUUUUUUCAUACAAAUUUAGAGGGAAAAAUAAUGAGAACCAGCUUCAUCUUAGGAAGACAUCAACUGAGUGGUUUCAGGUUAGUGAAACUCCUAGGUGAACCAUGCACUAAAUCCUGACCCAUGUUUCUCAUCUGACUUGCCAGCAAUGCUUGUUCGGUUUGUCUUAGCAACUCCUACCCCAGAGUUCCUGCUCUUUGUUUGGAUGGGGCUCUGCUUCAUCUUAUGAGGAUGUGAACCCAUUCCCAGCAGAGUGCCAGGGCCUGACACACAGCACAUACUUCAAAGCCACUUGCACAUAAGCCAGUGAGUGGAGGAGAUGCUGAUCUUCUCAGGUGGCUCCUUGUUAGCUGCUGCCCUGGUGACCUCUUCCUGCAUGCAUCCUAGCAGGUAGUUCAGGAACCAUGGCAAUGAGAAGCAGGCAGGCAGCAUGGGUCCACAUACUCUCAGAGGCAAAGCUUUUUAGGUUUCCUUUGUAUGAGUUUUUAGGAUGUGGCUUUGUCUGGUCUCACAGUGGUGCUUCUGCUGAUGAUAUUCAUGUCUGAAAGGCCCCUUUGAUGUCUCUUACCAUGUUCUCAUGACUGGCAUACAGCCCUGAGUUUGUCAUAGAUGACACUCUCACCAGAGGGGUAUGUUGGUGCUCUUCCCUUUUUUCCUCAAAAUGUAGAUGAAGGAAGCAUAGGAGAUCACUGAUAUGUCAUGGGGACACAGACAGUAUAUCAGGGAGGAGAGGUACAAAGUUCUGCAGCCACGGGAUGGGUGGUGUGUGCUUUUUGCACAGGAUGCUGUUGCCCCUAACUAUUAUCUGGCUCUGUGCCAUAUAGCAUCCAUUGCAAGUGUCUCUAGAGAGAAUGAUUUAAGAAACUGAAAAAGGGAGAAGAGUUUUGAGGUGCAUACUUGGUUAAUUGUGGCAGGAGCCUGAUGACUCAAUUCACACCUGGAACUCAAAGAACUGACUAUGGUAGAAACACAGAUACUGG